rnacentral:rRNA from 1 species
GGUAGAGGAGCAAACCGUGAGGACGAAGCGAAAGCGAAAGCGAUCGUGGACGAAACGGAAGAGAGAAUGCCGGAAUGAGUAGCGAGAUAUAUGUGAGAAUCAUAUAGGCCGAAAGUCUGAGGUUUCCUGAGUCAAGCUAAUCUACUCAGGGUAAGUCGGGGCCUAAGGUGAGGGCGAAAGCCGUAGCCGAUGGACAGCAGGUAGAAAUUCCUGCACUACGGAUAUACAGAACUGUGGGGACACAGGAGGCAAACCGGACCGGGGAAAGGAAAAACCCGGCCAAGAGCAAAGCUAUACCGGAAAGGCAAAUCCGUCCGGGAAAGGUGAAGCUUGAUGGGGAGUGAAGAAAAGUAGCGAAGCCGGGGCAGCCAAACUGUCAAGAAAAGCCGCUAUUGUUGUAUCCGUACCCGUACCGCAAACCGACACAGGUAGACGAGGAGAAAAUCCACAGGCCGACGGGAGAAGCGUUGUUAAGGAACUCGGCAAAAUGACCCCGUAACUUAGGGAUAAGGGGAUCCAUCGCAAGGUGGACACAGAGAAGAGGCCCAAGCGACUGUUUAGCAAAAACACAGGUCUCUGCUAAACCGAAAGGUGAAGUAUAGGGGCUGACGCCUGCCCGGUGCUGGAAGGUCAAGAGGAGAGGUUAGACGCAAGUCGAAGCUUUGAAUUUAAGCCCCAGUAAACGGCGGCCGUAACUAUAACGGUCCUAAGGUAGCGAAAUUCCUUGUCAGGUAAGUUCUGACCCGCACGAAAGGCGUAACGAUUUGGGCACUGUCUCGACAACGCGCCCGGUGAAAUUGAAGUAACAGUGAAGAUACUGUUGACCCGCGACAGGACGGAAAGACCCCAUGGAGCUUUACUGCAGCUUAAUAUUGGGAUUCGGUAAGACAUGCACAGGAUAGGUGGGAGGCUGUGAAGCCGGUACUCUGGUAUCGGCGGAGCCAACGUUGGGAUACCACUCUUGUUUUACUGGAUUUCUAACCUGCUCCCAUUACCUGGGAGGGGGACAAUGUUAGGCGGGCAGUUUGACUGGGGCGGUCGCCUCCGAAAGAGUAACGGAGGCGCUCAAAGGUAACCUCAGCAUGAUUGGAAACCAUGCAUAGAGUGUAAAGGCAGAAGGUUGCUUAACUGCGACCUCGACGGAGGGAGCAGGUACGAAAGUAGGACUUAGUGAUCCGGUGGUAAUAAGUGGGAAUGCCAUCGCUCAACGGAUAAAAGCUACCCUGGGGAUAACAGGCUGAUUUCCCCCAAGAGUUCACAUCGACGGGGAAGGUUGGCACCUCGAUGUCGGCUCGUCACAUCCUGGGGCUGGAGAAGGUCCCAAGGGUUGGGCUGUUCGCCCAUUAAAGCGGUACGCGAGCUGGGUUCAGAACGUCGUGAGACAGUUCGGUCCCUAUCCAUCGUGGGCGCUGGAAAUUUGAGAGGGGCUGUCCUUAGUACGAGAGGACCGGGAUGGACGGGCCGCUGGUGUACCUGUUGCAGACCUACUGCACGGCAGGGUAGCCAAGCCCGGAAAGGAUAAACGCUGAAGGCAUCUAAGCGUGAAGCCGCCCUCAAGAUUAGAUUUCCCAUCACUUCUAAGUGAGUAAGGUCCCUGAAAGACUAUCAGGUAGAUAGGCGGGAGGUGUAAGCGCGGUAACGCGUUCAGCUGACCCGUACUAAUU